UUUACUUCCUGACUGCCUGCCAUGUAUGAGAAAACUGCUUGAUUUUCUUGGCAAGGUACAAUAAAUUGUGUCAAGCUCAGAAACUUUGGAAUUGCUUUGAUUUGCUUCAAUGAGGCUCCUGUGAUCACUGGAGAACUGUCCUGUUGGCUUACCAACUCACCAGAUUUGACGUGAUAGCUUGAACCAGUCAUGGAGCAAACAUUUGGUGUGCCAAAAUGAGGAGUCAACUUGGUCUCAUUACCAUGUGAUACCGCCAUGCUCUCCAGUGUGGAUGUCUGAAAAUCAAACUGCCAUGGAUGUGGCUCUUCUUGGACUCUGGAAACAUCUGUUCCAUAACCAGAAGAAAAUGAUUCCCAGUGUUCAGAAGAAAUACUAUGGCCAUGAAUGGCUGAUGCACUAUUUGCUUCCAUGGAAAUCAUUUCAAAGUCUCUGUCAGAAGAACUGAAUGAUUUCCUGCUUUGAUGAAAGUCAGACCAGAAAGAAUGUCCUUUCUGUUGGCUCCAAAAAGGACUUUGUCCAAAUCUCCUCUGUUCUCCGCUUCGUCCAAAGGUUGCUACAAUAUUUCCAGCUGUGUAUACCUCCUGGGAUCAUAAUAGAAAUGAGCCUCUGAAGCAUCUGACUGAAGAAAGCCCAUAUGUUGACUGUCCAGCUGACUGUCUCUUCCCGACUGCUGUACCACACGAUACGGGCCAGGCAAUGGUACUGCCUUUGCAAACUAAAUGUAGUUCCUCAAGGUGAAGCUGGUGGCGAGUUCAGAGUUAACUUUUCAAAUGGCCGGGCUUAUACAGAAUAACCUUUGUAAAAGUGAACUAUGAUCAGAUAGUGAUAAGGUACACGUGCAUUUGGAACGCCACUGCUUUUGGAACCUGUUUCAGUUUUUAUCAUCAUACAAGGUUAAUUGUCUAAUGAAUUAGAUUUUAUCACAGUGUAUUUCGGUCCUAAUCUGGAACAAUAAAAGUCUAUUAAACAGCAAA